rnacentral:snoRNA from 1 species
UAAAUUAUGACGAUUGUUAUUUGUGCUGUUGGUUCGAUUCGUUCGAUUACGUUUUUACGAUUACCAACUGCCACUAUUUCUGGUUGCAGCUUUUCAUAAAUUAU